CCUUCAUUACAUUGACUCUAGAAUAUUGGCAGCAAUUUGAUGGUGACGUUUCAUGUUAUAAAUUAAAGCAAAUCAGUUCCUUGAAACUCAGCUCAAUCGAAACCAAAGUUACAAUUACUUUCUCCUCUCAAUUCAAGCAAUGAAACUCAAGAAGAGAAAAAAACUAUAUUCAAAAGGGAAGCUCCAUACAACAAUUAUGAUUUCCUUGAUUAAUAAGUUUGAUACGGCGUGAAAACCGUUCUCGGAAACUAAAGAAAAAUGGACAGUGAGAGUGGAGUCCCAAUUUUAGAUUUUCGUAAGAGCACUGGAAUUAUUUUAGAAGAAGGAGGUCAAGGAUGGAAAGAAAUGAGUAAGAAAGUGAGAGAAGCACUUGAGAGUCAUGGUAUGUUUCUCUUAAGGUGUGAUGAAAUACCGAAAGAAUUACAAAAUAAAAUGUUCCCGGCAUUAAAUCUUUGUUUGAUCUACCUGAGGAGACAAAGACGAAGUUCAUUGGCAAAAGAGCUUAUAGGGGUUAUUCGUCCAAGAACCCUACGCUUCCUAAUAGUCAAACAUUCGGUAUUGAUGAUACUUUUGAUCCAAAUGAGGCCCGAAGCUUCACUAACCUCAUGUGGCCUGAAGGAAAUCCUAAUUUCUGGUAUUUAAUUAUUUUACUUUGUUAAUAUUUUGGCUUACUUUAAUAACUUUGCUUUAAAAUAUUUUAUUAUUUUGCAAUGAGAUGAGGCAUAAUAGAUUAUGUAUAUACAGUGAGGCAUUAAUUUCAUUUAGCUCACAAGCACGUGAACUAAGCUCAUGUAUCCUAAAGAUGAUUAUGGAGGGCUUUGGCCUUCCAGAAAUUACAUUUUUGAAGUUAACGAGUUGUGUAGAGGUAAUGAUACACGGCUGACAAAGUAUCCACUUCCUAAAGAAGCAAAUGAUUCUGUGAUUACUUUUGUGCCUCACACCGACAAAUCCAAUCUUUCCAUUAUAUUAAAAAUAAAUAAUAAUAAGAAUAAUAAGAAGAAUAAUAAUAUAAAUACUAUUAAUCCACCACUAUAACUAAAUACAAAAUAACACAUAAAUCUUUAAACUAUACUUUUUUUUCUAUUUCAUAACUCAUAAUAUUUAAUUAUGACUAUUCACCUGCUUAAUAAAUUGAUAUACAUUUUGAUUAAUAACUUAAUUAGAUAUUAUUUUUUAUUUUUAAUUAUUUUUCUAUGCAUAAUCACACCAUAUAUAUAUAUAUAUAUAUAUAUAUAUAUAUAUAUAUAUAUAUAUAUAUAUAUAUAUAUAUAUAUAUAUAUAUAUAUAUAUAUAUGAUUUUAACUUAUUAUCAUUUAAUUUAUAUUUUUAUAUUUUAUAGUAAUAAUAUUGAAUAGAAUAAGAAUGAAUUGAAAUUAAUACAUAAAUAAAAAUUUAUGGAGAAUAAAUAGUGAAAGAUAGUGAAGGGUUAAAAAAUAAGAGUAAAUAAAAUAUCACAAAACUUAUAAAAUAUGCUAAAAUUUAUGGAGAGUUUAUAAAAUAUAAUGGUAAUAAGAUUUAUAAAGUAAUAAAUUACUUAAAAGAGUGUUAAUUGAAAUAUUAAUUAGACCAAAUAAAUAUUUAAACUACGUCUUACUAAUUUGAUUGGUUAUUAUUUUCUUAUUUGUUAUUGUUCUACUCAUAUUUAUAUGUUUGCAUAUUGCGUGCGUGCAUGUGAGAUUGAGUUAAGAGAGGUUUAUAGGAAGUGAUUUUUUUUUCUAUUUUUGGGUUACAAGUGAUACCUCUCCAAAAUCACCAAAUUAGGUUUGAUUUUCGUGUUAUUUAGAUGAUUGAAAGGGUCAAUGAGGGGUGGUUUUAUUAUAUAUUUGAUGAGUCUAAAGUUUGUUUACUAUUUAUAUAUAUUCUGAAUCUUUUAAUACAGAGCAUAACAGGAGUUUAUUAUCUGCAGCUAACAUAACGGCACAACUGGUAUAACUAAUCGCUAACUACUUUAAUAACAUGACUUGUUAGGUUACAAAGCUUAUUCAUAAAUCUAAUUCCCAUCCACUGAUACAAACUAGUAUAAAACCUAUAUACUAUAUAAAUUUUGAAUUGUAGGUUUAUAGAUAGCAUGUAUAUUAUAGUUUUAUUGGGGCUUUUUUUUUUUGAUAAGCGACAUAUUAUAUUGAAUACGAGUACUAGGAGUACUCAAUGGGGCUUUUGAUCCAACUAAAAUCUAAGUUGCUUAUGAGCAUAAUUAUGUUUCAUUAAUGACUUGAUUGGGUUGUUCUUUUUUUCUUCUUUCUUUCUAAAACAGUUUGAUACGGCGUGAAAACCGUUAUCGGAAACUAAAGAAAAAUGGACAGUGAGAGUGGAGUCCCAAUUUUAGAUUUUCGUAAGAGCACUGGAAUUAUUUUAGAAGAAGGAGGUCAAGGAUGGAAAGAAAUGAGUAAGAAAGUGAGAGAAGCACUUGAGAGUCAUGGUAUGUUUCUCUUAAGGUGUGAUGAAAUACCGAAAGAAUUACAAAAUAAAAUGUUCCCGGCAUUAAAUCUUUGUUUGAUCUACCUGAGGAGACAAAGACGAAGUUCAUUGGCAAAAGAGCUUAUAGGGGUUAUUCGUCCAAGAACCCUACGCUUCCUAAUAGUCAAACAUUCGGUAUUGAUGAUACUUUUGAUCCAAAUGAGGCCCGAAGCUUCACUAACCUCAUGUGGCCUGAAGGAAAUCCUAAUUUCUGGUAUUUAAUUAUUUUACUUUGUUAAUAUUUUGGCUUACUUUAAUAACUUUGCUUUAAAAUAUUUUAUUAUUUUGCAAUGAGAUGAGGCAUAAUAGAUUAUGUAUAUACAGUGAGGCAUUAAUUUCAUUUAGCUCACAAGCACGUGAACUAAGCUCAUGUAUCCUAAAGAUGAUUAUGGAGGGCUUUGGCCUUCCAGAAAUUACAUUUUUGAAGUUAACGAGUUGUGUAGAGGUAAUGAUACACGGCUGACAAAGUAUCCACUUCCUAAAGAAGCAAAUGAUUCUGUGAUUACUUUUGUGCCUCACACCGACAAAUCCAAUCUUUCCAUUAUAUUAAAAAUAAAUAAUAAUAAGAAUAAUAAGAAGAAUAAUAAUAUAAAUACUAUUAAUCCACCACUAUAACUAAAUACAAAAUAACACAUAAAUCUUUAAACUAUACUUUUUUUUCUAUUUCAUAACUCAUAAUAUUUAAUUAUGACUAUUCACCUGCUUAAUAAAUUGAUAUACAUUUUGAUUAAUAACUUAAUUAGAUAUUAUUUUUUAUUUUUAAUUAUUUUUCUAUGCAUAAUCACACCAUAUAUAUAUAUAUAUAUAUAUAUAUAUAUAUAUAUAUAUAUAUAUAUAUAUAUAUAUAUAUAUAUAUAUAUAUAUAUAUAUAUAUGAUUUUAACUUAUUAUCAUUUAAUUUAUAUUUUUAUAUUUUAUAGUAAUAAUAUUGAAUAGAAUAAGAAUGAAUUGAAAUUAAUACAUAAAUAAAAAUUUAUGGAGAAUAAAUAGUGAAAGAUAGUGAAGGGUUAAAAAAUAAGAGUAAAUAAAAUAUCACAAAAAUUAUAAAAUAUGCUAAAAUUUAUGGAGAGUUUAUAAAAUAUAAUGGUAAUAAGAUUUAUAAAGUAAUAAAUUACUUAAAAGAGUGUUAAUUGAAAUAUUAAUUAGACCAAAUAAAUAUUUAAACUACGUCUUACUAAUUUGAUUGGUUAUUAUUUUCUUAUUUGUUAUUGUUCUACUCAUAUUUAUAUGUUUGCAUAUUGCGUGCGUGCAUGUGAGAUUGAGUUAAGAGAGGUUUAUAGGAAGUGAUUUUUUUUUCUAUUUUUGGGUUACAAGUGAUACCUCUCCAAAAUCACCAAAUUAGGUUUGAUUUUCGUGUUAUUUAGAUGAUUGAAAGGGUCAAUGAGGGGUGGUUUUAUUAUAUAUUUGAUGAGUCUAAAGUUUGUUUACUAUUUAUAUAUAUUCUGAAUCUUUUAAUACAGAGCAUAACAGGAGUUUAUUAUCUGCAGCUAACAUAACGGCACAACUGGUAUAACUAAUCGCUAACUACUUUAAUAACAUGACUUGUUAGGUUACAAAGCUUAUUCAUAAAUCUAAUUCCCAUCCACUGAUACAAACUAGUAUAAAACCUAUAUACUAUAUAAAUUUUGAAUUGUAGGUUUAUAGAUAGCAUGUAUAUUAUAGUUUUAUUGGGGCUUUUUUUUUUUGAUAAGCGACAUAUUAUAUUGAAUACGAGUACUAGGAGUACUCAAUGGGGCUUUUGAUCCAACUAAAAUCUAAGUUGCUUAUGAGCAUAAUUAUGUUUCAUUAAUGACUUGAUUGGGUUGUUCUUUUUUUCUUCUUUCUUUCUAAAACAGUUUGAUACGGCGUGAAAACCGUUAUCGGAAACUAAAGAAAAAUGGACAGUGAGAGUGGAGUCCCAAUUUUAGAUUUUCGUAAGAGCACUGGAAUUAUUUUAGAAGAAGGAGGUCAAGGAUGGAAAGAAAUGAGUAAGAAAGUGAGAGAAGCACUUGAGAGUCAUGGUAUGUUUCUCUUAAGGUGUGAUGAAAUACCGAAAGAAUUACAAAAUAAAAUGUUCCCGGCAUUAAAUCUUUGUUUGAUCUACCUGAGGAGACAAAGACGAAGUUCAUUGGCAAAAGAGCUUAUAGGGGUUAUUCGUCCAAGAACCCUACGCUUCCUAAUAGUCAAACAUUCGGUAUUGAUGAUACUUUUGAUCCAAAUGAGGCCCGAAGCUUCACUAACCUCAUGUGGCCUGAAGGAAAUCCUAAUUUCUGGUAUUUAAUUAUUUUACUUUGUUAAUAUUUUGGCUUACUUUAAUAACUUUGCUUUAAAAUAUUUUAUUAUUUUGCAAUGAGAUGAGGCAUAAUAGAUUAUGUAUAUACAGUGAGGCAUUAAUUUCAUUUAGCUCACAAGCACGUGAACUAAGCUCAUGUAUCCUAAAGAUGAUUAUGGAGGGCUUUGGCCUUCCAGAAAUUACAUUUUUGAAGUUAACGAGUUGUGUAGAGGUAAUGAUACACGGCUGACAAAGUAUCCACUUCCUAAAGAAGCAAAUGAUUCUGUGAUUACUUUUGUGCCUCACACCGACAAAUCCAAUCUUUCCAUUAUAUUAAAAAUAAAUAAUAAUAAGAAUAAUAAGAAGAAUAAUAAUAUAAAUACUAUUAAUCCACCACUAUAACUAAAUACAAAAUAACACAUAAAUCUUUAAACUAUACUUUUUUUUCUAUUUCAUAACUCAUAAUAUUUAAUUAUGACUAUUCACCUGCUUAAUAAAUUGAUAUACAUUUUGAUUAAUAACUUAAUUAGAUAUUAUUUUUUAUUUUUAAUUAUUUUUCUAUGCAUAAUCACACCAUAUAUAUAUAUAUAUAUAUAUAUAUAUAUAUAUAUAUAUAUAUAUAUAUAUAUAUAUAUAUAUAUAUAUAUAUAUAUAUAUAUAUGAUUUUAACUUAUUAUCAUUUAAUUUAUAUUUUUAUAUUUUAUAGUAAUAAUAUUGAAUAGAAUAAGAAUGAAUUGAAAUUAAUACAUAAAUAAAAAUUUAUGGAGAAUAAAUAGUGAAAGAUAGUGAAGGGUUAAAAAAUAAGAGUAAAUAAAAUAUCACAAAAAUUAUAAAAUAUGCUAAAAUUUAUGGAGAGUUUAUAAAAUAUAAUGGUAAUAAGAUUUAUAAAGUAAUAAAUUACUUAAAAGAGUGUUAAUUGAAAUAUUAAUUAGACCAAAUAAAUAUUUAAACUACGUCUUACUAAUUUGAUUGGUUAUUAUUUUCUUAUUUGUUAUUGUUCUACUCAUAUUUAUAUGUUUGCAUAUUGCGUGCGUGCAUGUGAGAUUGAGUUAAGAGAGGUUUAUAGGAAGUGAUUUUUUUUUCUAUUUUUGGGUUACAAGUGAUACCUCUCCAAAAUCACCAAAUUAGGUUUGAUUUUCGUGUUAUUUAGAUGAUUGAAAGGGUCAAUGAGGGGUGGUUUUAUUAUAUAUUUGAUGAGUCUAAAGUUUGUUUACUAUUUAUAUAUAUUCUGAAUCUUUUAAUACAGAGCAUAACAGGAGUUUAUUAUCUGCAGCUAACAUAACGGCACAACUGGUAUAACUAAUCGCUAACUACUUUAAUAACAUGACUUGUUAGGUUACAAAGCUUAUUCAUAAAUCUAAUUCCCAUCCACUGAUACAAACUAGUAUAAAACCUAUAUACUAUAUAAAUUUUGAAUUGUAGGUUUAUAGAUAGCAUGUAUAUUAUAGUUUUAUUGGGGCUUUUUUUUUUUGAUAAGCGACAUAUUAUAUUGAAUACGAGUACUAGGAGUACUCAAUGGGGCUUUUGAUCCAACUAAAAUCUAAGUUGCUUAUGAGCAUAAUUAUGUUUCAUUAAUGACUUGAUUGGGUUGUUCUUUUUUUCUUCUUUCUUUCUAAAACAGUUUGAUACGGCGUGAAAACCGUUAUCGGAAACUAAAGAAAAAUGGACAGUGAGAGUGGAGUCCCAAUUUUAGAUUUUCGUAAGAGCACUGGAAUUAUUUUAGAAGAAGGAGGUCAAGGAUGGAAAGAAAUGAGUAAGAAAGUGAGAGAAGCACUUGAGAGUCAUGGUAUGUUUCUCUUAAGGUGUGAUGAAAUACCGAAAGAAUUACAAAAUAAAAUGUUCCCGGCAUUAAAUCUUUGUUUGAUCUACCUGAGGAGACAAAGACGAAGUUCAUUGGCAAAAGAGCUUAUAGGGGUUAUUCGUCCAAGAACCCUACGCUUCCUAAUAGUCAAACAUUCGGUAUUGAUGAUACUUUUGAUCCAAAUGAGGCCCGAAGCUUCACUAACCUCAUGUGGCCUGAAGGAAAUCCUAAUUUCUGGUAUUUAAUUAUUUUACUUUGUUAAUAUUUUGGCUUACUUUAAUAACUUUGCUUUAAAAUAUUUUAUUAUUUUGCAAUGAGAUGAGGCAUAAUAGAUUAUGUAUAUACAGUGAGGCAUUAAUUUCAUUUAGCUCACAAGCACGUGAACUAAGCUCAUGUAUCCUAAAGAUGAUUAUGGAGGGCUUUGGCCUUCCAGAAAUUACAUUUUUGAAGUUAACGAGUUGUGUAGAGGUAAUGAUACACGGCUGACAAAGUAUCCACUUCCUAAAGAAGCAAAUGAUUCUGUGAUUACUUUUGUGCCUCACACCGACAAAUCCAAUCUUUCCAUUAUAUUAAAAAUAAAUAAUAAUAAGAAUAAUAAGAAGAAUAAUAAUAUAAAUACUAUUAAUCCACCACUAUAACUAAAUACAAAAUAACACAUAAAUCUUUAAACUAUACUUUUUUUUCUAUUUCAUAACUCAUAAUAUUUAAUUAUGACUAUUCACCUGCUUAAUAAAUUGAUAUACAUUUUGAUUAAUAACUUAAUUAGAUAUUAUUUUUUAUUUUUAAUUAUUUUUCUAUGCAUAAUCACACAUAUAUAUAUAUAUAUAUAUAUAUAUAUAUAUAUAUAUAUAUAUAUAUAUAUAUGAUUUUAACUUAUUAUCAUUUAAUUUAUAUUUUUAUAUUUUAUAGUAAUAAUAUUGAAUAGAAUAAGAAUGAAUUGAAAUUAAUACAUAAAUAAAAAUUUAUGGAGAAUAAAUAGUGAAAGAUAGUGAAGGGUUAAAAAAUAAGAGUAAAUAAAAUAUCACAAAAAUUAUAAAAUAUGCUAAAAUUUAUGGAGAGUUUAUAAAAUAUAAUGGUAAUAAGAUUUAUAAAGUAAUAAAUUACUUAAAAGAGUGUUAAUUGAAAUAUUAAUUAGACCAAAUAAAUAUUUAAACUACGUCUUACUAAUUUGAUUGGUUAUUAUUUUCUUAUUUGUUAUUGUUCUACUCAUAUUUAUAUGUUUGCAUAUUGCGUGCGUGCAUGUGAGAUUGAGUUAAGAGAGGUUUAUAGGAAGUGAUUUUUUUUUCUAUUUUUGGGUUACAAGUGAUACCUCUCCAAAAUCACCAAAUUAGGUUUGAUUUUCGUGUUAUUUAGAUGAUUGAAAGGGUCAAUGAGGGGUGGUUUUAUUAUAUAUUUGAUGAGUCUAAAGUUUGUUUACUAUUUAUAUAUAUUCUGAAUCUUUUAAUACAGAGCAUAACAGGAGUUUAUUAUCUGCAGCUAACAUAACGGCACAACUGGUAUAACUAAUCGCUAACUACUUUAAUAACAUGACUUGUUAGGUUACAAAGCUUAUUCAUAAAUCUAAUUCCCAUCCACUGAUACAAACUAGUAUAAAACCUAUAUACUAUAUAAAUUUUGAAUUGUAGGUUUAUAGAUAGCAUGUAUAUUAUAGUUUUAUUGGGGCUUUUUUUUUUUGAUAAGCGACAUAUUAUAUUGAAUACGAGUACUAGGAGUACUCAAUGGGGCUUUUGAUCCAACUAAAAUCUAAGUUGCUUAUGAGCAUAAUUAUGUUUCAUUAAUGACUUGAUUGGGUUGUUCUUUUUUUCUUCUUUCUUUCUAAAACAGUUUGAUACGGCGUGAAAACCGUUCUCGGAAACUAAAGAAAAAUGGACAGUGAGAGUGGAGUCCCAAUUUUAGAUUUUCGUAAGAGCACUGGAAUUAUUUUAGAAGAAGGAGGUCAAGGAUGGAAAGAAAUGAGUAAGAAAGUGAGAGAAGCACUUGAGAGUCAUGGUAUGUUUCUCUUAAGGUGUGAUGAAAUACCGAAAGAAUUACAAAAUAAAAUGUUCCCGGCAUUAAAUCUUUGUUUGAUCUACCUGAGGAGACAAAGACGAAGUUCAUUGGCAAAAGAGCUUAUAGGGGUUAUUCGUCCAAGAACCCUACGCUUCCUAAUAGUCAAACAUUCGGUAUUGAUGAUACUUUUGAUCCAAAUGAGGCCCGAAGCUUCACUAACCUCAUGUGGCCUGAAGGAAAUCCUAAUUUCUGGUAUUUAAUUAUUUUACUUUGUUAAUAUUUUGGCUUACUUUAAUAACUUUGCUUUAAAAUAUUUUAUUAUUUUGCAAUGAGAUGAGGCAUAAUAGAUUAUGUAUAUACAGUGAGGCAUUAAUUUCAUUUAGCUCACAAGCACGUGAACUAAGCUCAUGUAUCCUAAAGAUGAUUAUGGAGGGCUUUGGCCUUCCAGAAAUUACAUUUUUGAAGUUAACGAGUUGUGUAGAGGUAAUGAUACACGGCUGACAAAGUAUCCACUUCCUAAAGAAGCAAAUGAUUCUGUGAUUACUUUUGUGCCUCACACCGACAAAUCCAAUCUUUCCAUUAUAUUAAAAAUAAAUAAUAAUAAGAAUAAUAAGAAGAAUAAUAAUAUAAAUACUAUUAAUCCACCACUAUAACUAAAUACAAAAUAACACAUAAAUCUUUAAACUAUACUUUUUUUUCUAUUUCAUAACUCAUAAUAUUUAAUUAUGACUAUUCACCUGCUUAAUAAAUUGAUAUACAUUUUGAUUAAUAACUUAAUUAGAUAUUAUUUUUUAUUUUUAAUUAUUUUUCUAUGCAUAAUCACACCAUAUAUAUAUAUAUAUAUAUAUAUAUAUAUAUAUAUAUAUAUAUAUAUAUAUAUAUAUAUAUAUAUAUAUAUAUAUAUAUAUAUAUAUGAUUUUAACUUAUUAUCAUUUAAUUUAUAUUUUUAUAUUUUAUAGUAAUAAUAUUGAAUAGAAUAAGAAUGAAUUGAAAUUAAUACAUAAAUAAAAAUUUAUGGAGAAUAAAUAGUGAAAGAUAGUGAAGGGUUAAAAAAUAAGAGUAAAUAAAAUAUCACAAAAAUUAUAAAAUAUGCUAAAAUUUAUGGAGAGUUUAUAAAAUAUAAUGGUAAUAAGAUUUAUAAAGUAAUAAAUUACUUAAAAGAGUGUUAAUUGAAAUAUUAAUUAGACCAAAUAAAUAUUUAAACUACGUCUUACUAAUUUGAUUGGUUAUUAUUUUCUUAUUUGUUAUUGUUCUACUCAUAUUUAUAUGUUUGCAUAUUGCGUGCGUGCAUGUGAGAUUGAGUUAAGAGAGGUUUAUAGGAAGUGAUUUUUUUUUCUAUUUUUGGGUUACAAGUGAUACCUCUCCAAAAUCACCAAAUUAGGUUUGAUUUUCGUGUUAUUUAGAUGAUUGAAAGGGUCAAUGAGGGGUGGUUUUAUUAUAUAUUUGAUGAGUCUAAAGUUUGUUUACUAUUUAUAUAUAUUCUGAAUCUUUUAAUACAGAGCAUAACAGGAGUUUAUUAUCUGCAGCUAACAUAACGGCACAACUGGUAUAACUAAUCGCUAACUACUUUAAUAACAUGACUUGUUAGGUUACAAAGCUUAUUCAUAAAUCUAAUUCCCAUCCACUGAUACAAACUAGUAUAAAACCUAUAUACUAUAUAAAUUUUGAAUUGUAGGUUUAUAGAUAGCAUGUAUAUUAUAGUUUUAUUGGGGCUUUUUUUUUUUGAUAAGCGACAUAUUAUAUUGAAUACGAGUACUAGGAGUACUCAAUGGGGCUUUUGAUCCAACUAAAAUCUAAGUUGCUUAUGAGCAUAAUUAUGUUUCAUUAAUGACUUGAUUGGGUUGUUCUUUUUUUCUUCUUUCUUUCUAAAACAGUUUGAUACGGCGUGAAAACCGUUCUCGGAAACUAAAGAAAAAUGGACAGUGAGAGUGGAGUCCCAAUUUUAGAUUUUCGUAAGAGCACUGGAAUUAUUUUAGAAGAAGGAGGUCAAGGAUGGAAAGAAAUGAGUAAGAAAGUGAGAGAAGCACUUGAGAGUCAUGGUAUGUUUCUCUUAAGGUGUGAUGAAAUACCGAAAGAAUUACAAAAUAAAAUGUUCCCGGCAUUAAAUCUUUGUUUGAUCUACCUGAGGAGACAAAGACGAAGUUCAUUGGCAAAAGAGCUUAUAGGGGUUAUUCGUCCAAGAACCCUACGCUUCCUAAUAGUCAAACAUUCGGUAUUGAUGAUACUUUUGAUCCAAAUGAGGCCCGAAGCUUCACUAACCUCAUGUGGCCUGAAGGAAAUCCUAAUUUCUGGUAUUUAAUUAUUUUACUUUGUUAAUAUUUUGGCUUACUUUAAUAACUUUGCUUUAAAAUAUUUUAUUAUUUUGCAAUGAGAUGAGGCAUAAUAGAUUAUGUAUAUACAGUGAGGCAUUAAUUUCAUUUAGCUCACAAGCACGUGAACUAAGCUCAUGUAUCCUAAAGAUGAUUAUGGAGGGCUUUGGCCUUCCAGAAAUUACAUUUUUGAAGUUAACGAGUUGUGUAGAGGUAAUGAUACACGGCUGACAAAGUAUCCACUUCCUAAAGAAGCAAAUGAUUCUGUGAUUACUUUUGUGCCUCACACCGACAAAUCCAAUCUUUCCAUUAUAUUAAAAAUAAAUAAUAAUAAGAAUAAUAAGAAGAAUAAUAAUAUAAAUACUAUUAAUCCACCACUAUAACUAAAUACAAAAUAACACAUAAAUCUUUAAACUAUACUUUUUUUUCUAUUUCAUAACUCAUAAUAUUUAAUUAUGACUAUUCACCUGCUUAAUAAAUUGAUAUACAUUUUGAUUAAUAACUUAAUUAGAUAUUAUUUUUUAUUUUUAAUUAUUUUUCUAUGCAUAAUCACACCAUAUAUAUAUAUAUAUAUAUAUAUAUAUAUAUAUAUAUAUAUAUAUAUAUAUAUAUAUAUAUAUAUAUAUAUAUAUAUAUAUAUAUGAUUUUAACUUAUUAUCAUUUAAUUUAUAUUUUUAUAUUUUAUAGUAAUAAUAUUGAAUAGAAUAAGAAUGAAUUGAAAUUAAUACAUAAAUAAAAAUUUAUGGAGAAUAAAUAGUGAAAGAUAGUGAAGGGUUAAAAAAUAAGAGUAAAUAAAAUAUCACAAAAAUUAUAAAAUAUGCUAAAAUUUAUGGAGAGUUUAUAAAAUAUAAUGGUAAUAAGAUUUAUAAAGUAAUAAAUUACUUAAAAGAGUGUUAAUUGAAAUAUUAAUUAGACCAAAUAAAUAUUUAAACUACGUCUUACUAAUUUGAUUGGUUAUUAUUUUCUUAUUUGUUAUUGUUCUACUCAUAUUUAUAUGUUUGCAUAUUGCGUGCGUGCAUGUGAGAUUGAGUUAAGAGAGGUUUAUAGGAAGUGAUUUUUUUUUUCUAUUUUUGGGUUACAAGUGAUACCUCUCCAAAAUCACCAAAUUAGGUUUGAUUUUCGUGUUAUUUAGAUGAUUGAAAGGGUCAAUGAGGGGUGGUUUUAUUAUAUAUUUGAUGAGUCUAAAGUUUGUUUACUAUUUAUAUAUAUUCUGAAUCUUUUAAUACAGAGCAUAACAGGAGUUUAUUAUCUGCAGCUAACAUAACGGCACAACUGGUAUAACUAAUCGCUAACUACUUUAAUAACAUGACUUGUUAGGUUACAAAGCUUAUUCAUAAAUCUAAUUCCCAUCCACUGAUACAAACUAGUAUAAAACCUAUAUACUAUAUAAAUUUUGAAUUGUAGGUUUAUAGAUAGCAUGUAUAUUAUAGUUUUAUUGGGGCUUUUUUUUUUUGAUAAGCGACAUAUUAUAUUGAAUACGAGUACUAGGAGUACUCAAUGGGGCUUUUGAUCCAACUAAAAUCUAAGUUGCUUAUGAGCAUAAUUAUGUUUCAUUAAUGACUUGAUUGGGUUGUUCUUUUUUUCUUCUUUCUUUCUAAAACAGUUUGAUACGGCGUGAAAACCGUUCUCGGAAACUAAAGAAAAAUGGACAGUGAGAGUGGAGUCCCAAUUUUAGAUUUUCGUAAGAGCACUGGAAUUAUUUUAGAAGAAGGAGGUCAAGGAUGGAAAGAAAUGAGUAAGAAAGUGAGAGAAGCACUUGAGAGUCAUGGUAUGUUUCUCUUAAGGUGUGAUGAAAUACCGAAAGAAUUACAAAAUAAAAUGUUCCCGGCAUUAAAUCUUUGUUUGAUCUACCUGAGGAGACAAAGACGAAGUUCAUUGGCAAAAGAGCUUAUAGGGGUUAUUCGUCCAAGAACCCUACGCUUCCUAAUAGUCAAACAUUCGGUAUUGAUGAUACUUUUGAUCCAAAUGAGGCCCGAAGCUUCACUAACCUCAUGUGGCCUGAAGGAAAUCCUAAUUUCUGUUUGAUACGGCGUGAAAACCGUUCUCGGAAACUAAAGAAAAAUGGACAGUGAGAGUGGAGUCCCAAUUUUAGAUUUUCGUAAGAGCACUGGAAUUAUUUUAGAAGAAGGAGGUCAAGGAUGGAAAGAAAUGAGUAAGAAAGUGAGAGAAGCACUUGAGAGUCAUGGUAUGUUUCUCUUAAGGUGUGAUGAAAUACCGAAAGAAUUACAAAAUAAAAUGUUCCCGGCAUUAAAUCUUUGUUUGAUCUACCUGAGGAGACAAAGACGAAGUUCAUUGGCAAAAGAGCUUAUAGGGGUUAUUCGUCCAAGAACCCUACGCUUCCUAAUAGUCAAACAUUCGGUAUUGAUGAUACUUUUGAUCCAAAUGAGGCCCGAAGCUUCACUAACCUCAUGUGGCCUGAAGGAAAUCCUAAUUUCUGUUUGAUACGGCGUGAAAACCGUUCUCGGAAACUAAAGAAAAAUGGACAGUGAGAGUGGAGUCCCAAUUUUAGAUUUUCGUAAGAGCACUGGAAUUAUUUUAGAAGAAGGAGGUCAAGGAUGGAAAGAAAUGAGUAAGAAAGUGAGAGAAGCACUUGAGAGUCAUGGUAUGUUUCUCUUAAGGUGUGAUGAAAUACCGAAAGAAUUACAAAAUAAAAUGUUCCCGGCAUUAAAUCUUUGUUUGAUCUACCUGAGGAGACAAAGACGAAGUUCAUUGGCAAAAGAGCUUAUAGGGGUUAUUCGUCCAAGAACCCUACGCUUCCUAAUAGUCAAACAUUCGGUAUUGAUGAUACUUUUGAUCCAAAUGAGGACCGAAGCUUCACUAACCUCAUGUGGCCUGAAGGAAAUCCUAAUUUCUGGUAUUUAAUUAUUUUACUUUGUUAAUAUUUUGGCUUACUUUAAUAACUUUGCUUUAAAAUAUUUUAUUAUUUUGCAAUGAGAUGAGGCAUAAUAGAUUAUGUAUAUACAGUGAGGCAUUAAUUUCAUUUAGCUCACAAGUAGGGGUGUGCAAAAAAACCGGUUAU